CCAAUAGCGUAUAUUAAAGUUGUUGCAGUUAAAAAGCUCGUAGUUGAAUUUCGGGAUCAAUAUAUCGGUCAUGCUUAGGUAUGUACUGGUAUUAUUGAUUUCUCCCUUCUGACGAACCAUGAUGUCAUUAAUUUGGUGUCGUGGGGAAUCAGGACUGUUACUUUGAAAAAAUUAGAGUGUUUAAAGCAGGCAUACGCUUGAAUACAUUAGCAUGGAAUAAUGAAAUAGGACGUUUGAUUCUAUUUUGUUGGUUUCUAGGAUCGACGUAAUGAUUAAUAGGGAUAGUUGGGGGCAUUAGUAUUCAAUUGUCAGAGGUGAAAUUCUUGGAUUUAUUGAAGACUAACUACUGCGAAAGCAUUUGCCAAGGAUGUUUUCAUUAAUCAAGAACGAAAGUUAGGGGAUCGAAGACGAUCAGAUACCGUCGUAGUCUUAACCAUAAACUAUGCCGACUAGGGAUCGGAUGAUGUUAAUUUUUUAAUGACUCAUUCGGCGCCUUACG
rnacentral:rRNA from 1 species